rnacentral:rRNA from 1 species
UACGGAGGGUGCAAGCGUUUAUCCGGAUUUACUGGGUUUAAAGGGUGCGUAGGUGGGUUGGUAAGUCAGUGGUGAAAUACUUUCGCUUAACGAAGGAACUGCCAUUGAUACUACCAGUCUUGAAUACAGUGGAGGUAGGCGGAAUGCGUCAUGUAGCGGUGAAAUGCUUAGAUAUGACGCAGAACACCAAUUGCGAAGGCAGCUUGCUACACUGUUAUUGACACUGAGGCACGAAAGCGUGGGGGAUCAAACAGG